rnacentral:rRNA from 1 species
AGUGAACGCUGGCGGUAGGCCUAACACAUGCAAGUCGAACGGCAGCACAGUAAGAGCUUGCUCCUACGGGUGGCGAGUGGCGGACGGGUGAGGAAUACAUCGGAAUCUACUUUUUCGUGGGGGAUAACGUAGGGAAACUUACGCUAAUACCGCAUACGACCUACGGGUGAAAGCAGGGGAGCUUCGGACCUUGCGCGAUUGAAUGAGCCGAUGUCGGAUUAGCUAGUUGGCGGGGUAAAGGCCCACCAAGGCGACGAUCCGUAGCUGGUCUGAGAGGAUGAUCAGCCACACUGGAACUGAGACACGGUCCAGACUCCUACGGGAGGCAGCAGUGGGGAAUAUUGGACAAUGGGCGCAAGCCUGAUCCAGCCAUACCGCGUGGGUGAAGAAGGCCUUCGGGUUGUAAAGCCCUUUUGUUGGGAAAGAAAAGCAGCAGGUUAAUACCCCGCUGUUCUGACGGUACCCAGAGAAUAAGCACCGGCUAACUUCGUG